CCUCUGCUCUGGAGCCAGGCUGGGAGAGCUGGGAAUGUUCACCAGGAGAAGAGAAGGAUCCAGGGAGAGCUCAGAGCC
rnacentral:miRNA from 12 species